GCGCGCUUUCCCGGCUGCGCGCCCGCCCGGUCACGCGCCCUGCUCACCGCGCGCUCGCGUGGGGGCGUCCCCUCUGGCCCCGCGCACGCGCGCUACGUCCCUCAGACUGGCUGCCCCCGAGGGUUCGCCCCCAAAUCCUGUCAGUCCACGGCCUUGAUGGAGCGGCCCCCGUGGGACGACCCUGUUGAUUGUGCUAGCGGAUGUUGUCUCCAUUCUGGAUCUGGGAAAAACUGUGGAGUGAAAGCCGGACCUGUUAGGGUUGGGACCUGAAAGCGGACUUUUUCGCUCUCAGACGGGCCCCAGGAAUUUCAUGUUUAACAGAGGUGUCUUCAAGGAGAUGAAACAAUUCAGAAUGACCUAGGCAAUGGGGUAAUUCCUAAGACCCCACCACCGUGCCCUGAGGAAGCCCAAACAACCCAUGGAGACAUCCGCAUGGAGAGACCUGUGCCCUCAGUCCUGGUUGAACUCCCAGCUGACAGUCAAUGUCAACUUGCCAGCCAUAUGAGUGAACCAUACUGAAGUUCAUCAUCCAUCCCUGAGUAAAGCUACGUGAGCUGACACCAUGUGGAGAAGAAACAAGCAUUCUUACUGAGCCCCGCCCAAAUUGCCGAUUCAUGAACUAAAAAAAAAGAUUGCUGUUCAUUUAAGCCACUAAAUUUUAGGAAUGUUUAGUAAGCAGCAAUCUAUAACUAGAACAAUGGUCAAUAAAUGAAAAUUUUACUUUAAGAAGGCAUACUAUAGCCACAUAACUUUGGGAAACUCUCUUGGUUAAAGUUUUAAAAAUUUCCCUUACUGCAGAGCUUUUAAUGGGCUAAUGUGUUUCAUGUUCCCUCACAAGAGUAUCCAGUGUUUCUCAAACAUUUUUAACCACAGAAUCUGUAUUGUAAAGUGCCAUCUUGCGAGAUUGGGGUUAACGGCCAG
rnacentral:lncRNA from 1 species